rnacentral:lncRNA from 1 species
GGGUAACUUUAGCCCUAACACAGCCCGGGAUGACUUCACGUUUCAUUCCAGAUACCUCUCCUUCAAGGAAAACGUAAUUAACGCCAAUUAAAAGCAUCCGGCAGAAUCGAGGAGUGAGGGCUGCAGGGAUGGGGAGAGCAGAACGCCGACACAGAGCACUGGGGGCGUAACAGCAGUGCUCAGCCUGACUGCCACAUCACCUCCAUUGCAUCGCAUCACCUCCAUCGCAUCACCUCCACAUCACAUCACCUCCAUUGCAUCACCUCCAUUGCAUCACCUCCACCACAUCACAUCACCUCCAUCGCAUCACCUGUGCCCCAGUGCUGCACCCCACCCGGGGGGGGUUAACCCUCCGCCUCCGAUGCCUUCCACACCUGAGAGCUGCUGAGGAUCUCCUUAUGGGGAGGAAGGCUGAAAGUGAAACGGGGCCGGAAAGCCUGGAGUGGAGGGGAAAGGCACUGCAGGCAGAGCAGGAAGGUUAGUGAGGAGUCACAGAGAAGGCGUUUACAGACAGGAAGGAGAAGCAGAGAAGCAAGCAGCACAGCUGAGGUUCGGUUCUGCCUUCUGGUCGCCGCCCGGAGCUUCUGAAGCGGCUCGCUAACAAAGCACGCCUGGAAGCUGUCCCUGCUCACAGCACCGCCCCAUCCUGCCCAGCUCAGCACCACCUCCGUGACAGCACAGCCCUGAGCGCAGCCCAGCUGACCCACCCGUGUUUCUGGGGGUUCCUGGGGAGAAAAUGGCCAACAGCCGGGAGGCAUUUCCUCCUCUGCCACGGAGAUGGGGCACGGAGCAAAGAGCCGCUGAGGGGGAGGCGGAGGUUUAUUUUGUCCCCCAGGGAAACCGCUUUCGGGAGCAGCUC